rnacentral:lncRNA from 1 species
UCCAAUGAGUCCCAAACCAAGAGAGAGCCCAGACAUAGUAUAACUCAGAUCGUACCAAACAAGCCCUACAAUGCUUCCAACUCAACACAGUACUUGUACAAUUCCUACUUGAUUCAUAUCUUAUGUUUUUCACUCCCUUCUUCUCAUCAUCACUCUCACGACUCACCUCCACCUUCUCAUGGAUAACUGUUACUCAAAAACAUAUCCUAGUAAUCGUGAAGAGCUAGCUAGUUCAAGCUUGAAGAAACGGUUCCUCAAGAGAGCUAAAGAACACAGGUCCAGACUCUACAUACUAAAGAGGUGUAUUAUCAUGUUACUAUGUUGGCACAAGUACGAACAAUAUUGAUAUUCAUUCAUUUUUAACCACGCUACACCAACCUCGUUAUCAUCUUUAAGGUAACAUAGUGUUCUAGUGUUUGUAGUUUAUUUAGAGAUUUUCAUGACAAAUGGGAGGUGAAAACAUUUGCAGGAUUUAUUCACGUUAUUGUGUAAUGAGACAUUGUUAGAUAGAUUGUUUUCUAGUGUAAAAGAAGGUGAAGAAAAAGACACUGUUUCACAUGAAGAUAGGGACAUAUCAUGGCUGGCUACUACAAAGUACUGGUCCUUUGGUCAAGAGAAACACUUUUUCUGUUUACUUUAAUUUAUUUGCCAGUUAUAUGACAUUGAUAAAUUCAUCUAUCACUUUUUUCUAUUGCUUCAUGUUUACAUAAACGUUU